rnacentral:lncRNA from 1 species
GGAGUAGAAGUAGGGGUGGCCCUCUUUACUAUAACCACUAGUGGUCUAUUCAUGAAAUGUUUGCUUCCUGUCCCUGCAACCAUAGGCUCUGCUGAGGUCUUAGCUCCAAAGGAAAAUAUUUCCAAGUGGAACAAAACAAUGACUCCAUUGAACUGGAAUUUGAAACUGCCACCGGGCCACUUUGGGAUUCUCAUGCAUCUGAAUCAACAGGCAAGGAGGGAGUUCACUGUAAUGGUUGAGGUUGCCCUUCAUCACUCAGCAGUGAAGAAUGAAAAUCAACAGAGCUUUCCCCAGCCUGCUGCUUAAGCAGCUGCUAGCAGGCUGAGGCUGCCCAGCCUCAUUAACCCAUUAGAUGCUGCGUUCGCCCGGGAGUCAUUCUUAAUGAGGCUGCUGCAGUUUUUCAGAGAAAACCAUGUACAUUUUGUGAGAAUACUCAAGCAGCCCCAUGGACCUGUCCAAAUAGCAAGGAACUGAAGCCCUCUGACAAGAACCAUGUGAAUGAACCAUCCUAGAAGGAGAUCCUCCAGCCCCAGUCAAAUCUCCAAAUAACUUCCCCCACAGUCAAUAUUACAACUGCAUCCUCAUGGGAGACCCUGAGCUAGAACCACCAAUGAGAAAACAGAAGCAAAGGCAGAAAGAUGCUACAUUGCCAGCUUUGAAGAUGGAGGGAAGAGGUCACAAACCAAGGAAGGCAAUGAGGACGUUGCACAAGACAGUCCCUGAUACCCAGAGUUUACUGCCUAAGAGAGGAUACAUCCUUCAAACCAAUAAUCUGCUAAUAGCAAGAUCCAAUAGCUUCAUGGAUAUUGAAAGAAACUGAGAAUCAAAUUUGCAUACUUCUGAGUCACUUGGAAACAAAAAACAAGUACAGUCUUAGAUUCUGAGGGAACAAAAAUUAAAAAUCACAUUAGGAAGAGAAUUCCUAAUGUAGGAACUCAUCCUGGAAGAUUCUUCAGCAAAAGUACAGACAAUAAUAAUAAUACUCCAUGAAGUUACCAUCGAUAUUGAAUGAAUUAAUGAAUGUAAAAACCUCAAAACCCUGCCUGGCCCAGAGCUUUGGAAUGGGUUUGGAUCUACCACUCAACUGCUUUAUGACUUCAGACCAGUUAUUUAAAUUCCCUGAAGCUCAGUUUCCACAUCUUUGAGUUUUUAUUAAUGACCUGCCGACAUCAUACAGUUCAUGAAAUGCUCUGGAUGUGUACAUGCUGAUGAUACGACCUCAGACCCAGCAAGAGCUCAGUGCAGCCCGGAGAGCUGUGAGCAGUGCCACAGGAGGAGAUGACUGGUGAGUGAAAUAAGCAAGAUAGGAGUUGAAGUGUACAUGAAGCAGAGUCCAAGCCUUCUCCUUCUGGAUGUUCAGCUGGAUCAUCCUGACUGCUCCCACUUUCAUCUUGGCUUUCAAAGGCAAGAGGAAAUUAUAAGGAAUAUUCUGAGUGGCUUUCAUCCAGGAGUUCUGUGGGACCCGCAACACCUGGAUGGUAGAUGCAAACAGAUAAAGAAUAUUGGUCACCAAAAGGAGUUCUUUUCAUCAUAGAUCUCUGAAGGUAGACACCUAUUUGCAGACUUCUCAAAGGGCUAUAUGGAUGUGCUCUACUUGUUGGAGGAUUGUCCAUCCACUCUUCUUCCUGUACUUACCAGGACAGAACAGCCGCAACUUCUCAGACAGUUCAUUCUUCUUUUCCUCACCUACUACCAUCUAAGAAAGGUACUUGAUGACUGUGGCUUUAGACAAGAGUCCUUUUCUUACCACAGGGUGGGCAGCACCAGCUCAUUAGAACCAUUUGUGUGACUGACUGAAGACAGCUCACCUUGGAACACUGCAGGACCCUAAGAGGAUGGAGGUGGAGUUUUUCUGCUCCUACACCUGGAUAGGCAAGACCAACCACUUACCAGAUGG